rnacentral:rRNA from 1 species
UACGGGGGGUGCGAGCGUUGUCCGGAAUUAUUGGGCGUAAAGGGCGCGUAGGCGGCUAGAUGUGUCAAAGGUGAAAUCCCUCGGCUCAACUGAGGAACUGCCUUUGAAACUGUCUGGCUUGAGGCCGGGAGAGGGUAGCGGAAUUCCCAGUGUAGCGGUGAAAUGCGUAGAUAUUGGGAGGAACACCAGUGGCGAAGGCGGCUACCUGGACCGGUUCUGACGCUGAGGCGCGAAAGCGUGGGUAGCAAACAGG